GAUGAACGCUGGCGGCGUGCUUAACACAUGCAAGUCGAACGGAAAGGCCCUGCUUGCAGGGUACUCGAGUGGCGAACGGGUGAGUAACACGUGGGUGAUCUGCCCUGCACUUCGGGAUAAGCUUGGGAAACUGGGUCUAAUACCGGAUAGGAACUAUCUUUAGCGUCGUGGUUGAAAAGUUUUUUGGUUGAUGGAUGAGCCUGAGGCCUAUCGGCUUGUUGCGGGGAUAAUGGCCUACCAAGGCGGCGAAGGGUAGCCGGCCUGAGAGGGUGUACGGCCACAUUGGCACUGAGAUACGGCCCAGACUCCUACGGGAGGCAGCAGUGGGGAAUAUUGCACAAUGGGCGCAAGCCUGAUGCAGCGACGCCGCGUGGGGGAUGAAGGCCUUCGGGUUGUAAACUCCUUUCGCUAGGGACGAAGCUUUUUGUGACGGUACCUAGAUAAGAAGCACCGGCUAACUACGUG
rnacentral:rRNA from 1 species